CUUCUCUUCCUUUCCUCUCUACCAUUAUACUCCUCUCCCUACUGCAACCUCUUUUCUCUUAUAUUCUCCCUUUUUUGAAUUAUUUUCGACCUCACUCUCUUCUUCUUUUUCCUCUUUAACAUUAUUCCUCCUCUACUACCCUCUUCUUCCUUUCCCCAUCCCUCUCCGUCAUCAUCAUCCCGUCGCCCUCCUCUUCCUCUCUCUCUCUCUCAUUCGUCUCUUGCCGGUCCAUCCUUGAUUUCGUACGACGUGCCUGGCCCUUUCCAUCUCCCGAACAAAUGACAUCAUACGACGUCUCUUGGUUAUCGGCUAUCGUCGUCGUGACUUGUCUAUUGACCAAUCAUGCUUCUUUAUGACUCCCUAUCACAGGAUUCUAGACGGGUCUUCCAUUCUUAGCGAUCGAAUCACAACACUGCCGACCUCCGUUUCCUCUUCGUUCCGAACGUCUCGUUUUGCCUU